UGGUACUAGACCUUUGUGGAAGCAUGUCAUUAUGAACAAAGGAUAGGGCUUGGUGCAUCUUCCUGUUGCAUUUUAGCAGUUAGGCCUUUUUCAGCAUGCUAGUGGCCGUGGUCUUGCGUGGUGAGCGACCAUGCAUUUUGCUACAUGGUAAAUCUCUCGCAGGUGUAACUGCACAUCCAGGAGGUUCCAGUAACUUGGUUGGAUACUAAAGUACACCAGUGAUGUGACUGCACUGCUGCUUUGUUUGUAGUGUGUUGGGUGUUUUUUUUUUUUUUUUUUUUUUUAAAUGUGUCUUGAAGUUUGUAGUUAAUCAUGUGAUCAUUUUGGAGUAGAAACUUUUUAAAGCAGGGGUUGUAGUCUUUUAGUGUGUCCACCUGGAGUGCGGUGUUUAGCCAAUUGUAUUGCUUUCACAACUGGUUUCGGUAUGGUGUGAGGUGAAAAUCCGAAAGGCCCCCGCUAGUCAUUUCUCUCCUUCUGGUCGUUCUGUAACUGGUAGAUUUGUGUAUCUGGUUUGAUUUUAGAUCGUAUCCAAAAAAUGUGUUGAAUUUUUUUUUCACUUUUGUGUAUAAAUUGCUUAAUUUUUAUACUUUGUCCAUGUCUCCAUGCUCACUCUGCCUUUGGCCACGAACCUGUGUGCCCUUGUAUAGGGCUAUUAUGUCCUGGUAUAUUCCGGGUGGUGUAGUCGAUUAUAGGAUUUGUAUCUGUCAUUUUUGGUAAUGUCCCCUACCUGACCACCUAUUGCCACACACUGAAGGAGAUGAGGCUUGCUAAGCCCUCCAUUUCUGAGCCAGUUAUCUUACCAGAACAGUCCGGCAAUAUGAUUUGUUUUAUGGUGUUUAAGUUUCUAUAAUUUCUUGUGCAAUGUGAAAUUUAUCUAUUUUUAUCAUCCCAUUGUGCAAUGUGUCUUGCAGGUCCUGGCGAACUCAAUAACUCCGAUCUAUAAAACUGUUGAUUUAAAGUUGUUGAUGUCCAUGUGUUUGUUGAACCACCCAAGGCAUUAGGCCCUAUGAAUUACUAUAGGAAUUCUUAUGAGUUCUUCCAAGAGUUUCUGAAGUGAACUCCUAAUGGUUGAUGGUUAUUUUCAAACAUAAGCAUGUAUGUUUAGAUAUAUAGUGUAUAUAUGAAGGGUGAUAGUAGUACAAAUAUUUGUACUUCAUCUAGUCAAUACAUUUCUACAUUUUUGUACAGACAAAAGUUUAUUGCAGACAUGUUUUAUCAGCACUAUUCUAUGUAUACAUAUUUGAUAUAUACUUUUUUCACUUUCUUCCCUCUUUUUAAUUAUUUCUUAAAUUCAUUUAAAAAUAAAGAGUAAUAAAGAUGAGAACAAUCAAAACCUUAUAUCACAAUCACACUGAAACUUCAGUUAAAGGUGCAACCUGCCGGUUGUCUUCUUACGACGCACUUAGGGCUUUACGAUUACUCCAGAGCAUCUGUAGAUCUACGAAGAUUUUUAAGUGCUACUUAAGUUACGAUGCUUUUGGGAAACAGACUGUUUUAUUACAAUCAGUCGUACAACCGUUUUUAUGAUCUUCUUAGGCUUUACAAUGCUUCUUGCGGCUGUGUCUAAUCAUAUCCAGAGGAUUGUCUCCAGCACAAUAGGAGCAACACAGAGAGCAACUCUUGGGACAACAAUGAAAGACACUUUUUCGUAUGUAAUUUGCACAUGUAUACAAAUUACUCCACACACCAGGCUUUGCAGUUUAUUUAUCUUUGUAUUUAUGAUUAUUUAUCUAAAA